rnacentral:rRNA from 1 species
GAUGAACGCUGGCGGCGUGCCUAAUACAUGCAAGUCGAGCGGACGGACGAGACGUUUGCUUCUCUGCAGUUACCGGCGGGCGAGUGAGUCCCACGUAGCUAACCUACAUAUAAGAAUAGGAUACCUUAGCGGACCCUGAUAUCACACACGUUCUUAUUUUGAACCGCAUGGUUCAUAAGUUCACACCGGUUUUGCUGUCCCUAAUUCAUGUAUCCGAGCUGCAUUAGCUAGUUGGUACGGUAACGGCUUACCAAGGCUACGAUGCAUAGCUGAUCUGAGAGGGUGAUCGGCCACACUGGAACUGAGACACGGUCCAGACUCCUACGGGAGGCAGCAGUAGGGAAUCUUCGGCAAUGGGCGAAAGCCUGAUGGAGCAACGCCGCGUGAGUGAUGAAGGUCUUCGGAUCGUAAAACUCUGUUAUUAGGGAAGAACAUAUGUGUAAGUAACUGUUGACAUCUUGACGUUACCUAAUCAGAAAGCCACGGCUAACUACGUG